AGAAUGAACGCUGGCGGCGCGCCUAAUACAUGCAAGUCGAGCGAGAAGACGUAGCAAUACGUUUGUAAAGCGGCGAACGGGUGAGGAAUACAUGGGUAACCUACCCUCGAGUGGGGAAUAACUAGCCGAAAGGUUAGCUAAUACCGCGUACGCUUCUUGGACUUCGGUUCAGGGAGGAAAGCGAUGCCAAGGGUAUCGCGCUCUUGGAUGGGCUCAUGUCCUAUCAGCUUGUUGGUGAGGUAACGGCUCACCAAGGCUUCGACGGGUAGCUGGUCUGAGAGGACGAUCAGCCACACUGGCACUGCGACACGGGCCAGACUCCUACGGGAGGCAGCAGUAAGGAAUAUUGCGCAAUGGGCGAAAGCCUGACGCAGCGACGCCGCGUGGGGGAUGAAGGUCUUCGGAUUGUAAACCCCUUUCGGAGGAAGAUGGAAUGGGUAACCAGUUCGGACGGUACCUCCAGAAGCAGCCACGGCUAACUUCGUACCAGCAGCCGCGGUAA
rnacentral:rRNA from 1 species